UUUGCAUUCAAUACAAGAGCAAUAGACACCACUCCAAGACACAAUCAAAGCGACCGAUCCACUCAAAGUCCCCGAAUCAACUCUAGUGAACUAGGACUUGCGAGAGGAUAUUUGUGUUCCAUUGUUGCUCUUGUUUGCUUGGCUUGGCUUUCUUUUCUUUCCCACUUCUUACUCUCAAGAGCUUUGUAAGCAAGGCAAGAGACACCAAUUGUGUUGUGGUCCUUGCGGGGUCUAAGUGACCCGUGAGAAUUAAGGAGAAAGCUCACUCGGUCUAAGUGACCGUUUGAGAGAGGGAAAGGGUUGAAAGAGACCCGGUCUUUGUGACCACCUCAGCAGGGACUAGGUUCUUUAGAACCGAACCUCGGUAAAACAAAUCACCAUGUUCAUCCGCUUUAUUUCUUGGUUGAUUUGUUUUCCCCCUCUCUCCCGGACUUGGUUUUAAUUCUAACAGUAACCCCGGCUUGUAGUUUGUUGUUUUAAGUUGUAAAUUUUAGAUUACGCCUAUUUACCCCCUUAGGCGACUUUCAAGCCCCAGGGGUGACAACGUCCCUCCUUGCUUAUGGGGAGCCCCAGGCCGUGCUGGCGAGCAUCGAGGAUCGUUUAGGCCUAGUUUGGGUAAUCUAGUAAUGAAAGGGAUUGAAGUGGAUUGAGAUGUAUUAUGGGAGUUUUUGAUCUAUUGGGGAUUUAUAUACUCUCCCAUCCCUCCAAACCACUUCAUUACUAGAGUACCCAAACUAAGCCCUAGGUGUCUAGCUUGCUCCAGACGCUCUCCCGAAGGCAACGACCCCCUGGCCCUGUGCAGGGAGUUGAAUGAGGAGAGCGAUGCAACUGAGAAGGUGUUGCGGGACGGCCUUGAUCGGCUUUCAACCAUGCGCCAAAGUCUAGCGUCGCUCACAAGGUCGCUAGCGAGCAGAUUCUGCCUUCUUCUUGACCAAAGGGAAGCGUGGGAGCAUUCCGUCAGUGAUCUUCCAGUAGCAAAAAGUGGGACCAUCGAUGCCCGCGCCAGUGCCGCGUUGAUCCAAAAUGCCUACGGCGCCCUAGUCGGAGCAGCGAGGAGUGAUGCGGAUUCGAUGACCCUUGCACGUGUUCAGAGCACGAAAGCGAGCUCUCACCUUCGUAUUCUGGAGCGAGGGAAAGAGGUCGUCGAGGCCCAAGUCGCGGUCUUGGAGGAGGAGCUGGGCAGUCAGACCAAGAAGGAGGAGAAAUUCCUACCCUACAUGCAAGAUAACACCUUUUAUUAGUCUCUUCUGAAGCUAGGGUCCGUUGCCUACUUCCUCCCUCUGAUUGCUCAUGUCUUCUCUGGUCAACCAUACAAGGGAAAUUUGACGCCACCGAGGGGAACUUCGUCAAGGUGCAAAGCCGCCUGGAGGAGCUAGAUAAGGAGAGGCAUCUCCUAUCGGAGGUGGUGAGCACCAUGUGUGUGCACUUCGGAGCACCUCCUUCGUCGGAGUCUGAAUCGCUCAUCUUGAGGGCCUCGCUAGCCUAGAGGAGCUUGAGAAGGAAUCCUUCUGCCAAGGGAUCUACCAGGUCUUCGCUGUCGUAACGUCUCACUACAAAGGGGGAUCGAGUUGGAGGACCUAAGCAAGCACUACUACGAUGCCUGGAGUGAUUCGAAUUUUGCUGGCAUGAUGAAGGCCGUGGAGCCUUUCGCUCGAAAGCUAGGAGCCGCCCUGCUUGGAAACACCCCACCUAGGGGGUUAAGGUGGAAGGGUACCAUUGUAAUGGCUGUGGAACAAAAAAGGGGGGGUUCCUUUCUUAUAGCAACUUAUCCAACUUCUCGUGAACUUCUGUGCUUACUAGAGCCUUGAGAGCGCUUUUCUUAAACAAGCCUAUAGCUAAAAAGAAGGCUUGCCACUUGAGUUGCGUUCGUUGAUGUAACACCCAAAACCCUGUGCUAGGUAUUAUAAAUGUCUCUCUAAAAGAUUUGAGA